rnacentral:tRNA from 2 species
GGGCCUAUAGUUAAGCGGUAUAACAGGGCAUUCGCAUUGCUCAGUCCCGAGUUCGAUUCUCGGUAGGUCCACCA